UACGUAGGUGGCAAGCGUUGUCCGGAAUUAUUGGGCGUAAAGCGCGCGCAGGCGGCCUUUUAAGUCUGAUGUGAAAGCCCCGGGCUCAGCCCGGGAAGUGCGCUCGAAACUGCGCAGCUCGAGUGCCGGAGGGGAGAGUGGAAUUCCUGGUGUAGCGGUGAAAUGCGUAGAUAUCAGGAGGAAUACCGGUGGCGAAAGCGACUCUCUGGACGGUAACUGACGCUGAGGCACGAAAGCGUGGGGAGCAAACAGG
rnacentral:rRNA from 1 species